rfam:Ornithorhynchus anatinus chromosome 2, whole genome shotgun sequence.
AGCAGCGUGGCUCAGUGGAAAGAGCCUGGGCUUCGGACUCAGAGGUCAUGAGUUCGACUCCCGGCUCUGCCA